AUACGUAGGGUGCGAGCGUUGUCCGGAAUUACUGGGCGUAAAGAGCUCGUAGGUGGUUUGUCGCGUCGUCUGUGAAAUUCCGGGGCUUAACUCCGGGCGUGCAGGCGAUACGGGCAUAACUUGAGUACUGUAGGGGAGACUGGAAUUCCUGGUGUAGCGGUGAAAUGCGCAGAUAUCAGGAGUAACACCGGUGGCGAAGGCGGGUCUCUGGGCAGUAACUGACGCUGAGGAGCGAAAGCAUGGGUAGCGAACAGGAUUAGAUACCCUGGUAGUCCAUGCCGUAAACGGUGGGCGCUAGGUGUAGGGGUCUUCCACGACUUCUGUGCCGUAGCUAACGCAUUAAGCGCCCCGCCUGGGGAGUACGGCCGCAAGGCUAAAACUUAAAGGAAUUGACGGGG
rnacentral:rRNA from 1 species